rnacentral:rRNA from 1 species
UACGUAGGGACGAGCGUUGUCCGGAAUUACUGGGCGUAAAGGGCGCGCAGGCGGUAUAUCAAGUCAGCUGUCAAAGACUGGGGCUCAACCCUGGUAUGCGGUUGAAACUAGAUAUGCUGGAGUGCUGUAGAGGCAAGUGGAAUUCCCAGUGCAGCGGCGAAAUGCGUAGAUAUUGGGAAGAACACCGGUGGCGAAGGCGACUUGCUGGGCAGCAACUGACGCUGAGGCGCGAAAGCCAGGGGAGGCAAACGGGAUUAGA